rnacentral:rRNA from 1 species
GCCCAGACUCCUACGGGAGGCAGCAGUGGGGAAUAUUGCACAAUGGGGGAAACCCUGAUGCAGCGACGCCGCGUGAGUGAAGAAGUAAUUCGUUAUGUAAAGCUCUAUCAGCAGGGAAGAAAAUGACGGUACCUGAGUAAGAAGCCCCGGCUAACUACGUGCCAGCAGCCGCGGUAAUACGUAGGGGGCAAGCGUUAUCCGGAUUUAUUGGGUGUAAAGGGCGUGUAGGCGGGAGCGCAAGUCAGAUGUGAAAACUCAGGGCUCAACCCUGAGCCUGCAUUUGAAACUGUGUUUCUUGAGUGCUGGAGAGGCAAUCGGAAUUCCGUGUGUAGCGGUGAAAUGCGUAGAUAUACGGAGGAACACCAGUGGCGAAGGCGGAUUGCUGGACAGUAACUGACGCUGAGGCGCGAAAGCGUGGGGAGCAAACAGGAUUAGAUACCCGCGUA